UACGUAGGGGGCAAGCGUUGUCCGGAAUCAUUGGGCGUAAAGCGCGUGUAGGCGGCUCGAUAAGUCUGCUGUGAAAGUCCAGGGCUCAACCCUGGAAUGCCGGUGGAAACUGUCGAGCUAGAGUACGGAAGAGGCGAGUGGAAUUCCUGGUGUAGCGGUGAAAUGCGCAGAUAUCAGGAGGAACACCAAUGGCGAAGGCAGCUCGCUGGGACGUUACUGACGCUGAUGCACGAAAGCUAGGGGAGCAAACAGG
rnacentral:rRNA from 1 species